UACGUAGGCAGCAAGCGUUGUUCGGAAUUACUGGGCGUAAAGAGUGUGUAGGCGGUUCUCUAAGUCUGUUGUGAAAUCUCCCGGCUUAACUGGGAGGGUGCGGCGGAGACUGGAGUGCUAGAGUGUGGGAGAGGUAAGCGGAAUUCCUGGUGUAGCGGUGAAAUGCGUAGAUAUCAGGAGGAACACCGAUGGCGAAGGCAGGUCUCUGGGCUGACACUGACGCUCAUGCACGAAAGCGUGGGGAGCAAACAGG
rnacentral:rRNA from 1 species